GGCAAAUAGUUCAGUGGUUAGACCGUUGCGCCAGUAACCAAAUGGUCACUGGUUCUAAUCCUUAAGUUGACA